UAGUAUACGAUAUUAUCACUACGUAUAUCGAAUUGCCUUGUUGGCUCGUCGUUUCUUGGAUUUCGGGCCUGACGACCGACGUCACUCGAACGUUCGCAAGGACGACGGUAGCGCCACGACUUGAUGCACGGAUCAGUUUCCCAGUUUCUUUGUGGCAUGAACAGAGAGUGAGUUCUGUGACAGUGAUUAGCGGACCUCGUAACAAAGAAACUCUAGGAAGUGAAACACCAAUACGCAGUUAGUGUAUUAUUUCAUAAUAGAAACCUUAUCGACGCUGAUGCUGCCUCAGCUUUCGAGAUACGUGUCGAAUUAACACGCGGGAUUACGCAACAAUAUUGUGGCUACGCUUGACAGAUUUCCGAUCAACAUAACCCCGUACGAGCCUAUGCUGUUGGAUGGGAUGGUCACGCUGCGUUGUCAGGACACAAUUGCUUUUCUAUAUGCAAGAGGAUAAUGCUCCACUAUUGAUAACAGGAAAUCAAUUGAGCCACUUUACAUGAGGAUUCACCCUUGUAUCUGGAAACAAGUGAUUACCAGGUAGCACAAUGUGAAUGCACCGCAAACUGUAUUCAGCAUUAUCAUGGUACUAUCAAAUGAGCAUAAAGGAUGCAUCGGAGAGUAUACAAAGGAGAAUGCUGAAUGAAGUGAAUAGAGAAAUAAAGAUCCAGAGCAAUUUGAGGAAGGAAAAUUAUUUCAAGAGAAAAAUUACCAAAGCUAUAUACAACGACUCAACCAGGAAAAUUGUAGCUGAUUGCCCAAUGAAGUGUUUGAAUGGAAAUACAGUAUACUACACACUGUAGCAUAUACUACAUUAUAUUCAUCUGCAGUAGCUUGCGUUAGUUUCGGUCGUAACGUCCUGCGCACUAUACCAGCGAUAGACUCUUAUUUACGAAUCCAGAGCCGCGUUCAAGUCCUCCUUUCAUGUUGACGAGAGACUCGAAGCUUUUUCCCGUGUCCCAUGAGAACGACCGCACUGCGACGUCUCGUCCUGUCCAAUGACGUUAAUUUGUGAUGUUCGAGCCAGGAGACUUUUUCAUCCCAUGCAGAGAUCCAGAUAUACAAAUUAUUAUAUGACCGUCGAAAUAAUGAAUUAUCUAUAAACUAUUUGAGUUAUAAUCGAGACAGACGACCAAUUCUUCCCUGCGCACUGCGAACGAACAUCUAAUUGGACUUGGUAUCAGUCAAGUUCAUGCUGUUAUCGUAUACUCUGAUGAUACUGGAUACAUAAGAGGAUCGUGUUCUCCCUAAAUAGUAGCUGUUAUGUCUUCACUGAUUUGGCACUGGUCGUCACUGAUCGUCACAAAGCGAGAGCCUAUCAUGCAAAAUCCACAGACACACACUUGGUCAAAUUAGGAUCCGAAACCUGAGUCGCAUUACAGCAGCUAUUCAACUAUAUAUAGUUAGGUAUAGUUCAUUCUAGUAUGGCUGACUAUGUAAACCAUACGUGUUUGCCUGCUUCAUCAGUAGCACCCUCCAUUAAUCAUUGUCCGCCGCGCCACUACGCGCGUUACAUACAUUAUACGGGCCGCUUGUCAUUCAUACUGUUACGUGUGCCAGUGCUACCAACUCGGCGAACAUUAACCUCAAUUCAGUACCUCUACCAGGAUGGCCACCGACCCUGAAAAGGAUUAGGGGCGAAACGUGCUGUUUGUUCAAAAGACUUCUCAGACCCAGGAUUUAUUUUUUAUCUCAAAUCGUUAACGAGCUUGAUACAAUGUAUACGUGUAAGAGUCAGGAUGAAUUAUUUUGGGGUGUUAUUGUUUCCUGUGGAGUGGAAUGGUAUGAAGUAUUUUGUCUGUUGGCUUAAUCUAAAGGGGGAUGAAUGUAGCUCUUUGAUUUUGUCAUGGUCAAAGGUCAAGUAUUGGUCAACACCUGCAGGCUUUUGGUGUCUAUAGUGCAGGGAGUGAACAGUCAACAGUGAACACAGAAACGUUUGUAGUUCGAGCGAGAGUUCCUGAGGAUAGUAAUAACAGUUUCGAAACUUGUACUACGUACUACUAUCCAGUGAAUAGGACACAGUUGUAGGCAACGUGGUUAUACGCGAGAUGUUCGCUGUAGCCUAGAAUCCCUUGGAAUCCUUGUGCUCCUUAAUACGUAAUUCCAUGGCGGACAUUUAAUAAUCAAGUAAUGAGACGGAAGCGUAGACGUUAAUGGAUUUAAUUGAAUUCACGGUGAAGAAAUUCUUUUGAUAGAUUUUCUUGUUUCGCUCAUUAACUUUACGUUAAUUUCUUAUGACUGUACAGUGUGGUGUCUUGACACAAAACCUACCGAAAAUUUUGUAUAAACGUAUUUUUGGCUUUAAAAGAGUCAAAUGACCCAUCGGUGGUAUGUUUAGUGUUAAAUAAAUAAUACAUAAGUAAACCUUGAUAGAAUCAAGUGGAGAAAAAUUAGCUAUGUAUCAUUAUUGUGAGGGAGGACUGCUAAAUCCAUGGUCCUUAAGAAAUUUUGGGGAUUAGGUGAAAAACUGCGAAGAAAGUCUAUUGUGGCGUUGUCUGUGUAUAUUUAAAGAAAAAAUAAUCUCAGGAUAUUCACUUUCUUACUUGCUUCACCUUUACUGCAAGCUUUGAAUAUCUAAAAGCUAUAGCUUCCUUGUAACACUUAUCAAAUUAUAUGGCCUCCUUUAAUACCGUGGAAUGUAUUAGCUGAGCUAAGCACUUGGAGUACUAAGAUCCAAUAGAAAUCUCAGAGAAAGCGAUGCCCGCGGAUAAUGCAUCGUAGUAAGGUUAAGAAAUGGGAAUUAUAAAAAAAUUUUCUUCAUUUUACCUGGUUACAUGGACGACCUCAAGGGUCGUUCAGGGAUUAAAGAUUUAAUCUUACAUUUAAAUUCCAUUCGUUAUUCCCUUGUGAAACAGCCCAGGAGACAAUGCUAAAUACAUAUAUAUAUAUGUAUAUAUACAAGAUUUGUCAUGAACAUAAAUUUUUGUUUUAAUUAAAGAUUUUGCCAUGUUUUAAUAUUUAUCAGACUCCUCUUGGUUAUUAUCAUUAUGGUUGAUCAUCCUGUUACAGCAAACUCUCGUUAAGUUCGCGCCUAUGGGACUGAAGAGGAUGAAACGCGCACUUAGCCAGUUACCUCUACGCCGCCAAACGAAUAUAACGAAAGUGUGGGACGUGUAAGUGCGAAGCGUCGGACUAUAAAUGGUGGAAAUUUACCACACGGCCGAUUUAGGGGAAACUCGCUUCGGCGCGCAGUUAGCAAGAGUGCACAUGGCCAGAGGCUACUGUGUUCGGCGUCCCGGCAUUUUCUGUGUAUCCGAAAAGUAACUGAAUGUCGACAGGCUAUAUGUAUAUAUUACGUUUUUUGUGCAAAGCAUGAGAAUAAUUAUUUUUCGUACUAUUUGAAAAAUAUGGAUAUGCGGGAUAAAAAAAAUCUGAAUAAGAUGUACAAAUAUUGAUAUUGAAAAGUCUGGCAUGAAUGUAUGGGAUUCUAUUGGAGCCAGAUUUUUUUUUUUUUUUUUUCCAUUGUUCCCAAUACUCGAUUCCAGACUUUUUAGCCAUAGAAAAAUUUGAACGCGGGAAUAUUCGAUAAUAAUAUUUGCGAAUAGAUCCGAUUAUGCGCGUGCCAAUACUCACUUAUUUGAACAUCCUCGUCCGCCUAUUGAAACUACAAAGACGAGUGCGGCGGAAUUUCGAUAUCGUCCUAUUUUCAGUCUGUCGGUAUUGUUUGCACUAUGAGGGACGAUGUUAGCAGCUUUCGAAACACACUGGGUCCUUCGUAUGCGAAAGCUUAACAAAUAUUUGACAGGGGCCAACCUCUCUCAAACUUACUAGGCAUUUCCGGGGGGGAGGUUUAGCGCAUUAUCUUUCGGCAGCCAUGAUCGAUCAUAAUAACAUCGGGCACUGAUACGGGGCUACACAUAUGGACGGAUAUAGAUCUUGAGGGCAAUUUGUGAAAUAAAAGAAAAAAAAUUGUCAACGUUACAUUUGAACCUGAAAAUGUUAUCUCUCAAGUCGUACAGCGUUUGUGAAAUAUUGUGAAGAAAAAAAAAAAUUCCUAUUUUGCGCUAAAACAAAUUAUCAUCAAAACUGAAUACUUGUAGUAUACAGAUAAUUGGAAUCAAGC